GGCCCAAGGAAUUUCUAACUCAUCUGCCUUAGCCCUUAGUCCCAGAAGAGAGCCAAGAAUUCGAGCAGCUCUAUCUGGGAUUGGGGAUCUGGCCUGUGAGGAGAGCCCAGCUCCUCCUCG
rnacentral:precursor_RNA from 13 species